rnacentral:lncRNA from 10 species
GGGAGAGACAAUCUCCUGAUGAUCCACAGCUAUAACAUUAAAGUGUUAAUUGAAUGCAGAUGCCAGGGAGAAGAAACUACCUGGGCAUAUGAAUUGAGAGACAAAAUGGUGAAGUAUGACCUCCUGGGGACACUCCACCAGAAAAGGGAAGAAAGCCUCAGAUGGGCAUGCGGGCAACUUUCUCAACACACUGUGUGCUCAAUUCCCAGGGGUAAGGAAGGCCCUGUGCAUGCAGAAAGCCCACCCUAAGGGAAGAAUCAUGGGAAAGAGACAAGAACUGAAUUUGCUGCAGACCUAUACGAAUACG